rnacentral:rRNA from 1 species
AUUGAACGCUGGCGGCAGGCCUAACACAUGCAAGUCGAACGAGUAGCGGACGGGUGGGCAAUGUCUGGGAAAAUGCCUGAUGGAGGGGGAUAACUACUUGAAACGGUAGCUAAUACCGCAUACCAUAAGAUGUGUCCACAUGGGAUUAGCUAGUUGGUGGGGUAACGGCUUACCAAGGCGACGAUCCCUAGCUGGUCUGAGAGGAUGACCGGCCACACUGGAACUGAGACACGGCCCAAACUCCUACGGGAGGCAGCAGUGGGGAAUAUUGCACAAUGGGCGAAAGCCUGAUGCAGCAAUGCCGCGUGUAUGAAGAAGGCCUUCGGGUUGUAAAGUACUUUCAGCGGGGAGGCGUUACCCGCAGAGGAAGCACCGGCUAACUCCGUGCCAGCAGCCGCGGUAAUUC